UGGCGGACGGGUGAGUAAUGUCUGGGAAACUGCCUGAUGGAGGGGGAUAACUACUGGAAACGGUAGCUAAUACCGCAUAACGUCGCAAGACCAAAGAGGGGGACCUUCGGGCCUCUUGCCAUCGGAUGUGCCCAGAUGGGAUUAGCUAGUAGGUGGGGUAACGGCUCACCUAGGCGGCGAUCCCUAGCUGGUCUGAGAGGAUGACCAGCCACACUGGAACUGAGACACGGUCCAG
rnacentral:rRNA from 1 species